rnacentral:rRNA from 1 species
CCUACGGGAGGCUGCAGUGGGGAAUUUUGGACAAUGGGCGCAAGCCUGAUCCAGCUAUUCCGCGUGUGGGAAGACGGCCUUCGGGUUGUAAACCACUUUUGUAGAGAACGAAAAGUCUAUUGAUAAUACCGAUAGAUGAUGACGGUACUCUAAGAAUAAGCACCGGCUAACUACGUGCCAGCAGCCGCGGUAAUACGUAGGGUGCGAGCGUUAAUCGGAAUUACUGGGCGUAAAGGGUGUGCAGGCGGUUUUGCAAGAUGGAUGUGAAAGCCCCGGGCUUAACCUGGGAAAGACAUACAUGACUGCAAGACUAGAGUGCGUCAGAGGGGGGUGGAAUUCCAAGUGUAGCAGUGAAAUGCGUAGAUAUUUGGAAGAACACCGAUGGCGAAGGCAGCCCCCUGGGACGCAACUGACGCUCAUACACGAAAGCGUGGGGAGCAAACAGGAUUAGAUACCCCAGUAGUC